GCCUAGGUGGUGUAGUGGUAGCACGCGCCCCCCGGAACGGUGAAAUACGGGUUCAACUUCCGUCUGAGACC